rnacentral:rRNA from 1 species
CCUACGGGAGGCAGCAGUGAGGAAUAUUGGUCAAUGGACGAGAGUCUGAACCAGCCAAGUAGCGUGAAGGAUGACUGCCCUAUGGGUUGUAAACUUCUUUUAUAAAGGAAUAAAACGCGGCACGUGUUCAUUUUUGCAUGUACUUUAUGAAUAAGGAUCGGCUAACUCCGUGCCAGCAGCCGCGGUAAUACGGAGGAUCCGAGCGUUAUCCGUAUUUAUUGGGUUUAAAGGGCGCGUAGAUGGGUUGUUAAGUCAGUUGUGAAAGUUUGCGGCUCAACCGUAAAAUUGCAAUUGAUACUGGCAGUCUUGAGUACAGUUGAGGUAGGCGGAAUUCGUGGUGUAGCGGUGAAAUGCUUAGAUAUCACGAAGAACCCCGAUUGCGAAGGCAGCUUACUAAACUGUGACUGACAUUGAUGCUCGAAAGUGUGGGUAUCAAACAGGAUUAGAUACCCUUGUAGUC